GACAGAGGAUGCAAGCGUUAUCCGGAAUGAUUGGGCGUAAAGAGCGUGUAGGCGGCCAGGUAGGUCCGUUGUGAAAACUCGAGGCUCAACCUCGAGACGUCGGCGGAAACCCUCUGGCUAGAGUCCGGAAGAGGAGAGUGGAAUUCCUGGUGUAGCGGUGAAAUGCGCAGAUAUCAGGAAGAACACCCGUGGCGAAGGCGGCUCUCUGGGACGGUACUGACGCUGAGACGCGAAAGCGUGGGGAGCAAACAGG
rnacentral:rRNA from 1 species